rnacentral:misc_RNA from 1 species
GUUAAAUUACAUUAAUUAGCCAAAAAAAGUAAAGACAGUGAGAAAGAGCAGAAGGAAAAGGUCUGAAUUAGUCAUAAUUGUAAAUACAAAUGCUAUGCAAAACAUCUGAUAUAGAGGAAAUUUGGUUCAGGGAAAUCUACAUAACCACACUAAACCCUUGAUUUUGAAGGCACUUCAAAAUCCAGACAAUAUGAACAUUUCAAAAUCCUUAGUAGUCAAUGA